CCUAAAGAAGGCUGUAGGUGAACUUGAGAGAGUAAAUCCAGACGUCGACACUCCUGGCCCUGCUCGGGAACAGCAGAACAAAGGAGAAAAAAAUGUUGCAGCCACAAUACGAACUAUGUUUGCACCAUACAAUACCAACUUGACUACAUACAGAAGGCCUCAGACAAAAUUCCAAAGACAUACUUUUAAGACCACUUGGACUCACAAAUUUUGUUGCCUUGGAGGUCCUAAUGAGGAUGAGGUACCAGACAAACCAAUGAAAAGAAUACUGAUUGAAGCAGGUCUGGGGGAGAAGAAACUUGCUCUAGUAAAGAACAAGGAUACAGAGUAUUUAAGAGAUGCUUUGUUGGAGCAUUAUCCAAAAUUAAAGGAUGGUGGGGGAUACGAGUUGAUGCGUUCCUCAUCCAGAACUCUUUUGGAGACCAUAUCAUAUCAA